AAAUCGGAUCAAUAAUAAGAAUAAAAAAAACUAUUGCGUUAGUUUUAUGAACUUUAUUCCUCUUUCACAUCCACACAAGUCGUUAAUACACAAUACCUGAGAAUAUGUUCGGAAACUCUUCCUUCUACCUGCAACAUACAACUGAUUUCGUGAUAAUGAUUACAUAGUAAUUAUUUUAAAAAUAAUAACAAUGAAAAAAAUAAUAAAAACAAGAGCGAAUGCUAUAGUCUAGUUAUCCGACUAUCAGAUAUCCGUUACUCGAAUAUGCGAACACAAUAUUUCCUUAUUUUUCUGGGGUAUCAAUAGAUAUCGGGGAAGAAAUUGAGAAAAAAACUGAAAAUUGUUAUAAAGUUCGGCGUGACCGGUUUAGCGGCUUUAGGGAAAAUCGAUAGAAAUUUACACAACUAAUAAAAUUAUAAAAAAAUAUCAAAACAUUUUGCAAGAGUGUUGGCUUGGCAGUUUUGGGCGGUUUAAGGGCGUUAGAGUGGGCGUGGCAAAACGCUAUUGUUUUUUUAAGCUUAGACAAACUACGAAAAUAUACCCUUCAUGGGUCUCUGUAAUUCCUCCAACUCUAAUCUUAAAUGUUAUGCUUAUAAUGAUUCCCUUAACCACAAUAUCUUAACCUAAUUGCCUAUGCUAACUUAUAUAUGUCAAAUGUCUUUAGUCGCUACCUAUUAUAAUAUUUACAUUAUUAUAUAAAUUUGUGAGUAACCAGGGUUCCUCACACUGCAUUCCUAACUCCUGGGUGGGCGCGACCAUCUCUCACGCGCCCAUCCCGGGACACCUGUACCGCUACGCGCCCAGGACGUCGUUAUCGGAAAUCUGGAUGACCGGUAGGUCCCCGGAGGAGACGUCCUCCUCCUCUUCUCACGGUUCUUCCUCGGCGGCGGUGGGUUUCGUAGUUAGGUCGAGGUGGCGUCGCCAAUACCAUAAUCAGUGGCGUCUGCCUGAAGUAGAAAUGUCUCCUCGAAGUGGGGACAUGCGCGAAUCGGUGCUACGAAGAGCCACACAAGCGCAGGCAACCUGUGCAGUGCACCAACUGCCAAGAAUAUGGCCACACCAAAGCGUACUGCACUCUAAAAUCCAUCUGCGUCGUUUGCAGCAAUGCCCACAGUACUGUAAACUGUCCUAAGAAUAAAAACGAUAGUUCAAUUAAGUUACGCAGCAACUGUGGCAAAAAACACACAGCCAACUGGCGAGGAUGCAUUGUUUACAAGGAACUCAAGAGUCGCCUAAACAAACGAGUGGAUUCAGUUCGAGAUCGUAUCACACCAAAAACUCACAAAGUAAUGGAACCGCCUACAACUAACAUCCCUUCGUCUGCCAGUCAGCGAACAAUGCCAAAAUCUUCCUUUGCAAGUGUACUAAAAUCAGGGAUCCAAGUACCGACAGCAGUCACCUCCAGCAUAAAAUUCACCAAAUAAAUAAACAAGUAAACACACAGAACAUGCAACAGCAGCCUAUUGGCGUUGAAGCGAUUAUAUUCUCGAUGCAGCAAAGCAUGAAAGACUACAUGACCUUCAUGCACGGAACUAUGCAAGAGCUUAUGAGGAACCAAAACAUCCUUAUUCAAAUGCUCGUUUCUUCUAAAACAGGAUAAUGACUCCCUUAAUAAUAGCAACCUGGAACGCUAAUGGCGUUUCGCGGCACAAGCUAGAACUUGCUCAGUUCUUAGCCGACAGAAACAUUGACGUUAUGCUACUCUCAGAGACUCACCUUACCGAAAAGUACAACUUCCAAAUACCAGCAUAUUAAUAUUACUUUACGAAUCACCCGGAUGGCCCAUGGAGGCGCUGGGAUACUAAUACGAUUGCGAAUUAAGCACCACUUUCUUGGUAAUUGGCAAGAAGAAUGCUUACAAUGUACCUCUAUAAACCUCCUAUGCCAUAACAGUGCUCUCACUCUGGCUGCUGUCUAUUGCCCACCUCGCUUCACAAUCUCUGAGGAGAAAUUCACUACACGUUUUGACUCGUUUGGUGAAAGGUUUGUUGCAGCUGGCUAUUGGAAUGCCAAGCACAUGUACUGGGGAUCUCGGAUAGCGAACCCUUAAGGAAAGCAGCUGUACAACGCAAACAUCAAACCGCAACACAAACUUUUUGUUUCCCCGGGAGCGCCUACAUACUGGGCACCAGAUCUCAUGAAGCUUCCAGAUUUGAUUGACUUUGCCAUCACAAAAAGGAUAUCCCAAUCAACGACUACUGAAGUGGAGUGGGCGGAAAAUCCUGGGGUGGUGGUUGCUGCGGCUGCUGCUGAUUUUUUCCCUGAAAUGAA